CGGCUGGGGGCUUUAUUAGGGGGCACCGGGGUCUGCUUUCCGACUCCCUUCCGACUCCGCGCCUGCGCAGGAAGCGAUUUGGGGAGUGUUGUGAAUUCCGAGGGCUCCACACUUAAGAGGUUGUACACUCACCUGUCUACCUGGACUCCAAUUUCCAUAUUUCCAGCCACUUGAGGACUGAGAGGUGGAUGAUAAACCCUGUCAUAGUGGAGCAAGUUCAGGUGUUUAACCGCUGUUAUGGGGGAUCUGCCUUUUCUCCCUCUUCUUUCUUACUUCCAUAAGUAUGUAUGUGCAGAGAUUGAAAAAUAACCUUGAGAGAGUCCAUCCAUCUAACUCCAGGUAAGACUGCAAAUAUUUCUUUCUUAUAAAUCUGGGAGGAAUGCAGUCAGUGUUUCAUGCCAACCAAAAAA
rnacentral:lncRNA from 10 species